AUCUAGUUUUGGAUCUGAUUCAAUUUAUUUUGUUGCCGAUUCUUGAUUUUUAUGAUAUUUAUUUAUGAAUCGCCAUGUGUAAUUAUUCGAAGAUAUUUUGAUAUUUUGAUUCUUGUACUUCCUUCUUGUGAAAUUAUUUUUUUCUAUGUAUUGAUCCUGUAAGGCUUGUUGAUUUUCUGAUUAUCUGGAUGUAAAAUCAUACAUUUGUUGGUAUGUAUAUUCCAGAAUUGUCUCGAUCAAUUUUAUUACUAAAGAAAAGAAGAUCGGUAUGAUUUGGGUGGGUUUUUUUAAUGAAUUGUUUAAUGUAUAGAUGAUUGGUAUUAUAGUGUAUUUCAAUGUCUGAAGAUAUUUCAAUCUUGUUAAAAAAUCUUGCUAUAAAAUAAAUGAGUUUCCUGGCUUGUAAAAACUGCAAUGCAAACCAAUGAGGCACUAUGAAAUUGCUCAUGUUACUGAAAAUACCAUUAAACAAGAAUCAUCACUUGAUCAUCAAAUAUGAUCAGACAAAUACUUUUAUAUAAACUUCGGCAGAUUAGAAUUUCUCAUAAAUUCUGAUUUAUUUUUUUUUAUUUCUCAGGCACCUUGCACUAUUGCACACUCAAAUAUUAGUCAGCCAGAAUAUACAUAUGUUGAAUUACUUAGGCUGCAGGGAUUUCUUGAUUCUGAGAGUGAGCCACUAAGCUAUGUAUCAGAGUGAUGCUAAUUAUAAUUAGUAUUUCAAUGUCUGAAGAUGACAAAGAUGGAGAUUAGCGAUGUAGAAUUUGGUCCGGGAUCAACUUGGCGCUUAAUGCAGUCCAACUUGUCGAAAAGUAUAUAUGGUUAGUUUCUAGCUAAUUAGAUUAUGUGAUACAUUUAUCAUACUUUCAGUUGGGUAUUAUAUAUGGUGUUUCUUAAAGACUGGGCUUCUCUAAAUACAGAGCACUUUGUUUUAUUGUUUGGAGCAAUAGAAUCAUAGAAGGCUAGCACACUCUGGCUUGUGGAGCAUUGGCUUAUCAGUAUAUGAAAAAGUAGUUACUUCAACAGUUGAUGUGUUGUAGGCAAUGAGGUCCUCCAUAUGCUCUUUUUUGCUAAAGGGAUAUUUUGUAGCCACAGAUCCCCUCUCUGGCGCUUGGAAUCCAUAAGUCAGAAGUUUGUUAUAGUGUGGAAGCCAUUAUUAGCAAAUCCUGAAGAUGAAAGCACACGGAGAUACCUGAGUUCAAACUAGGAGAAGCUAGUGAUUUGCAAUUGGAUAGAUAAUCAGCAGAGCCAGUCAUAAUUUUUUUCUUUCAUUGCAAUGCUUCUUUUUUGUAAAAAGAAAUAAUGCCAUCAUUAUCAACAUUUAUGUAUGUAUGUAUACAAUACAAGUACAACCUUCGUUAAAUGACUCAUUAAUACAUUGAAUUUAG